AUACGGAGGAUCCGAGCGUUAUCCGGAUUUAUUGGGUUUAAAGGGUGCGCAGGCGGCCAUUUAAGUCAGCGGUUAAAUCGUGGGGCUCAACCCCAUUCUGCCGUUGAUACUGGGUGGCUUGAUUGCGGUCGAGGUUGGCGGAAUUCGUUGUGUAGCGGUGAAAUGCAUAGAUAUGACGAAGAACACCGAUUGCGUAGGCAGCUGACCAGACCGCAAAUGACGCUCAUGCACGAAAGUGCGGGGAUCGAACAGGAUUAGAUACCCUGGUAGUCCGCACAGUAAACGAUGAAUACUUGUUUUCGGCGAUAUAAUGUCGGAGGCAAAGCGAAAGCGAUAAGUAUUCCAUCUGGGGAGUACGCCGGCAACGGUGAAACUCAAAUGAAUUGACGGGG
rnacentral:rRNA from 1 species